GGCGUAAAGCGUGCGUAGGCGGCUGAUUAAGUCGGAUGUGAAAUCCCUGAGCUUAACUUAGGAAUUGCAUUCGAUACUGGUCAGCUAGAGUAUGGGAGAGGAUGGUAGAAUUCCAGGUGUAGCGGUGAAAUGCGUAGAGAUCUGGAGGAAUACCGAUGGCGAAGGCAGCCAUCUGGCCUAAUACUGACGCUGAGGUACGAAAGUAUGGGGAGCAAACAGGAUUAGAUACCCUGGUAGUCCACGCCGUAAACGAUGGAUACUAGCUGUUGGAAGCAAUUUCAGUGGCUAAGCGAAAGUGAUAAGUAUCCCACCUGGGGAGUACGUUCGCAAGAAUGAAACUCAAAGGAAUUGACGGGGGCCCGCACAAGCGGUAAUCGAAU
rnacentral:rRNA from 1 species